CUCACAGGUCCGUCUGCCAGCUAGUAUAGAGUUGAACAUGAAUGCUGUACCGAAGACCGUGUACAAGUAUGCAUGACGGAGCCUCGCCCCCUCCCAUCUCCUCUAUCUCACAUGUUGACAUGCAAGGUGACAGCCCUGAGAAACUAAAGACGCUGCCUUCCUCAUGCCCACCUAAACUCUCCUCUGGUAUUGAUACUGGACUGGCUGUAUUUGGGGUGGUGCAUGUAUCGUAUCCAUGAUGACAUGGCCCACACAAACCAGCAGAUGUACUCGUGUGGUUCACUGGCCCCCAAAAUGAGGAGGGGAGGAUGUAUGGACUCACACUAUCACAAGCCAGGAGAGCCAUGGGAGAAGAGUGAAGGUGUUUACCAAGUUGCUGGGUAAGAGAGUGUUCAAGAGAUACCUCGAGCUGUUCCUGGACUCCCCAUAUUUCAUGGACUGGUGGGUUAUUAUGACUCUAGAAGCCAUUAUUUACAAUAUCAUACAAGUUUGCUCCAAAACACUUUCUGUUUGUGUACUUUGUUGCAAUUUCAACAUUGAUAAUGUACUCCAGUUAUUUAC